rnacentral:lncRNA from 1 species
AAGAAAGCUGAAAUCGCAGUUGGAAGCAGGAUUUCUCGCCCCUGCAGCCCUUCCCCCAUACCCGGUUUUCUGCAAGAAGCGGGCUCCGGAGCUCAGAGCCCGAAGUGUGUGCUCUGGUCUUUGAUGAUGUUAAUAAAAUGUGGUUUCAAAUGUUGUCCCGAAGAGGCCGGUUUCCUGUCUGUAUGUGGAAUGGAAGGACCGUGCCGGAGUUGUGUUCUCACCACCCACUUUGUCGGCGGAGGAGAAACACUCCUGCCUGAUGGGUUCCUGCACCUGCUCCUAGCCCUGAACUCGGGCCGUGAGCUCCUAACUGCCGCCUGCUCUGCGCUGAGCCCCACUCCUGAGACCGCGAAGUGCCAGAGCAGCGCCUCUCCCACCAACUCCUAGACGCCUGUAGGAGCUUCGCCGGAGCCUUCAGAACCCCGUGAGGGUGUGGGGGUGAAAUUGGAGGUCAUCCGGGUGAUUUUUUCUUACUUUUUCCCAGUUGUUCUCCUGCGUUGAUUUCAACUCUUCCAGUCUCCCGGUGCUGGGGCGCCAAUCCUUUCCCACCAAUUCCUACCCACCAGCUGGAGGUCGGGGCCCAGGGUCACCCCAGAGUUCUAUGGUGGCAGGGGGCGCCGAGUAGAGGGGCGGGAGGAGCUGGGUCCUCGGGAACCAAAGGGGACCUCAGCGGGGGCGGAGUGCGCAGCCUUGGCUGCUGGGAAAUGCCCAACUAGCCUCUGUGAGUGCCCACAGCGCGUCGUGGGGGCGUCCGUUCUGCAGCUCGGGUGACUCAGAAGCCCCGCCAACCCCACCAGCUCCCGGCUUCUCGAACGCUCUUCUGCUCGUCCAGCGGGGAGACUUCAGGGCCUGCCUCGUCAGGCCAGAUUGCAGCCCGCGACCUUCCCGGAUCAACCAAGGGCGAGGCAUGUUGCCCAGCAAGGCUGCCGCCUAACUGAGCCUCCCGGGGAACAGCCAUGACCAAAGCCCCGCGGGCCCAGGCGCGGGCACCUACCCCUACCCGCGCAGGCCUGUGGGAGCGCAGGGGCCGAGGCCGAGACGCUGGACUUCAGCUCCACACCUCUGACAACCCGGGAACGUCUGCGGAGCCCGGGGGAACAAUCAGCGGGCUCUGCGUCCCAGGAGCUGGGACACGCCUGCAAGGUGUGUGAUCCUUUAAAGAUCCUUAGUACUAGUUUUGUAGGGAGCCUUUGUUAUAGCUUUGUCAGCCUGCGCGCCUUCAGCAGCUCCCCCUCCCGGGCCCCUCGGUUCCCUCCGGGCUCGCCCCCAGCGGAGAGGGCCUGGCGCAGGGGAUCUGCCCAGGAUCAGCUGCCCUCUUCCAGCUCCCCUUCUGCGAGAUUCUUUUCCUUUGGUUACAAUCUCCCCUCCGUGCCUGGGGCAGAUAAACACGGUUCGCCCCGCCUGCAGUAUUGGGGCGAUGCUGUACUGGAAGAACAGGCUUUCUGAAUGUGACCUCGGGAUGCUGCAGCGGCGCAAUACUGUUACUGCUGAAUGAGUAGCUCUCCUGCCACCGCAGGGCGACUGCGGUGGGCACAGCAGGGCGCACAGAGGAAGGGGUAAUCUGCCCUCCUAGGCUAAGGAUUUGAGGGUUCUGACAAAAAAGAGCUGGUUGAGGAUGACACAGUUGUGAACUAACCUGGCUCCUACGACCCCACAGGGAAACCAGGUACCAGUAGUCUUGGGUACCACUGUCCCCACCAUACCACCAUUGUAAAGUAUGGACUCCUGCUUAGCCAAGGUGCAGCUCUAGGCAGGAUCUCUGAAGGAUGCUCUGGCACAGAGGGUGCAGGUAUGACUUUACCUGCACACAAGCUUACAUGUGCCCUGUCAUAUAUGGCUACACGUUUCCCCAUUUCCCCACAGUCUUCCUAUUUAACUUGUCUUCAUUCCUCCUUUCUAGGGCUUUCCGCCUGCACACAGUCAUUUGGAGAAAAUCAAGUGAGUGCACCUCUCCCCACAGAGGAUUCUGUACGUUAUGUAACAAACUCACACUGGGAUUCCUCAAGUUACCAUUUUGCCCCAAAUCAGCCAGCACUUGGUUUUCUGGCGGGGGUGUCAGGAUGAUGCAAAUGGAGGUGGAAGCUUCAUUCCCUGGGGGCUUUUAUUCCCCUCCUUGAAGCCCCAGUUCAAGGCCCAGGAACAAAGGGGAAAGGUAACUGAUCUCUCUUUUGGUCUUUCUCUCCCCUCACUUCCACCCCUUCACCUGCAGGACCUCCUCUUUCAUAAAUAGGGGAAAGCCUGUGGGAUCAGGUACAUAUGUAAAUACUGCUGACCUCGGCCGCCCCUCCUCACUGAAAAGCAGAAAGCCCGUUUCAGGUGCGGGCUGCUCCGUGCCUUUGAGUGUCCACCACUUCUAUUCCCCCAGAGUGCGUGGGACUCAAGGCCACUCACUUAACAUCCCUCUCUUGUUAAAAACAUUCAGGACAACUAUUAAAUAGUUCUUGGAAGAGUUAAAGACCUUCUUUCAGGAGUGAAACGUUUUUAAAGCUGUGCUUGGCAGAAGUCUUUAAGGCGUACAAAGUAGAAUCGGUAGACUUGCCUGAGCGAUUUUGAAAUUUGAAAGAUUUCUCCCCAUGAAGUGGUAAUUUAAAAUAGUUCAUAGAUGCUGUUUUGUUCUAUGAUGGCUUCUUCACUAUUGUCACCUAAAGAUUCUCAAGACCAAGCUACUAAGACAUUUCUUUUCAUUUGGUUAGUUUCUGGGUGAUACUAUGCUUUCUGAUUAGACCUAUUUAAUUUAUUUUUUAACUCUGCAGGAGAGUUUUCAUCCUUGGAAAUGUAAGUGAAACACAGACUCACUUCUGAGACCUUGGUAGGGGCAGAAGGAACAAAUCUGGCUAGCCCCAUUCACACCUGGAAGUUUCCCUGUCUAAACCUGGGUACAGUGAGGAUGGUGGGUUUUGACACCUUUUAUUUUAUUGCUGGCUCAAGAAAAAUUCUUUGAAAUGAACAUCUAUUCUAUUUCAAUGUGCAAUGUUCCAGCCGACUUAAUGGGCUUGCCUUAUGCGGAGAGGCAGUCCUGCAGGACAGAGCUAAUGUGUGGUCUCUCAGGAAGCUCAUCAGAACACCUCCUGUCCCUUUUCUUU